rnacentral:rRNA from 1 species
CCUACGGGGAGCUGCAGUGGGGAAUAUUGGGCAAUGGGCGCAAGCCUGACCCAGCGACGCCGCGUGAAUGAAGAAGGCUUUCGGGUUGUAAACUUCUUUUCUGAGGGACGAAGAAAGUGACGGUACCUCAGGACUAAGCCACGGCUAACUACGUGCCAGCAGCCGCGGUAAUACGUAGGUUGCAAGCGUUAUCCGGAUUUAUUGGGUGUAAAGGGCGUGUAGGCGGGAAAGCAAGUCAGAGGUGAAAACUCAGGGCUCAACCCUGAGCCUGCAGUUGAAACUGUUUUUCUUGAGUGAUGGAGAGGCAAUCGGAAUGCCGGGUGUAGCGGUGAAAUGCGUAGAUAUAAGGAGGAAAACCAGUGGCGAAGGCGGAUUGCUGGAUAGUAACUGACGCUGAGGCGCGAAAGCGUGGGGAGCAAACAGGAUUAGAUACCCGAGUAGUC